rnacentral:rRNA from 1 species
UGGGGAAUAUUGGACAAUGGGCGAAAGCCUGAUCCAGCAAUGCCGCGUGAGUGAUGAAGGCCUUGGGUUGUUCGCUCUUUUACCCGGGAUGAUAAUGACCGUACCGGGAGAAUAAGCUCCGGCUAACCCCGUGCCAGCAGCCGCGGUAAUACGGAGGGAGCUACCGUUGUUCGGAAUUACUGGGCGUAAAGCGCACGUAGGCGGCUUUGUAAGUCGGAGGUGAAAGCCUGGAGCUCAACUCCGAACUGCCUUUGAGACUGCAUCGCUUGAAUCCAGGAGAGGUGAGUGGAAUUCCGAGUGUAGAGGUGAAAUUCGUAGAUAUUCAGAAGAUCACCAGUGGCGAAAGCCGCUCACUGGACUGGUAUUGACGCUGAAGUGCGAAAGUGUGUGGAGCAACA